rnacentral:lncRNA from 1 species
GUUGUGCAAGCAGGCUCUGGAGACCCGCAGGCUCCUGGGCAGAGGGCUGCCUUCUGUGUGGGCUUGCCCCUCGCCACACCUGGCCAGGAGCCUCCCCCAGCCCCGUGACCCUUGUGUCAGAGCCUGGCCAGAUGACAGACGGCCUGGGGUGCAGGCGAGACCCACUGAACUGGCAGCUGAGGACAGGUCCAGGCCCAGUGGCUGGGGGACUUCUCAGAGCAGGUACCACAACAGCUACCCAAGGACUCAGGACUUUUCUCCCACAGCCAGACUUGGUGAUUGCAUGAAGGAGCCCAGCCUCGGAUGACCUUUCCCCGUGACAAGGCACUAGGAGAGCACAGACCUCCCCACACAAACACUGAGACACCCAACCUUGCGUGACCUUGAGCCAAACACAACUCUUAGGAUGUAACCUGCUUUACAAGAUGAGAAAGACACGAGUAAAAACAUCAGCAGACUCUGGAAGCAGGCGAGCUGGUGGAUUCAACUGGGACUCAGAAGACUGCACUUGAGGAGAUCAUCGUGAGUUGAAGAUCUCUUGCUUAGUCUCGCAGAAACUUCAUCAAGUCUAGCUCACCUGGGAGUCAGUUGGUGCCGGCGAAUCAAUUCGUGCCAGUGAAAUUCACCAAGAGCCUGAUUUACAAACUAGAGAGCCAUGGCCUUAAUUUUAGAGCAAAAGACAAACUUUUCCAAUGAAUAUAGUUUUCUUGUCCAAUAGCUAGGACACCCCCCUCCACCUGCUGUGUACUAAUGAAGCAGAUUUUUUUUUUUGAGUUUUGCUCUUGUUGCCCGGCUGGAGUGCAAUGACACCAUCU